AGCUGAGGCAAGCAAUGGUGUCUGUCUGUCUGUCCCUCUACCCAGGGUUUAGCAGCUAAUACUCUGGAUAGAAGGAUCCAUAGAUAGACUCUGCUUCUUCCCACUGGGCUACUCCCAUGGAUUUUACCAAUGUUUUCCUGCAUAUGGAGCAAGGCCUUGGAGACGAGGUGACAGAAUGGUAACCUUGGUAUUCACAUCAGAAUGCGCAGCAGCGAUCCAGGAAUAUCUUGCUAGGAUGUAACAAAGCUAAAAAUCCCGCCAGAACCAAACACUGGCCACAGCUUAGCCUGCGUCCAGGUGGGAGACACAAUGACUUGAAACUGGCUU
rnacentral:lncRNA from 1 species